AUUGAACGCUGGCGGCAGGCCUAACACAUGCAAGUCGGGCGAGCUGCGGACGGGUGAGUAUUGUUUGGGGAUCUUCCUGAUGGCGGGGGCUAUCUACUGGAAACGGUACCUAUUAUCGCAUACCAUCAUAUGAACCCAUAUGGGAUUAUCUUGUAGGUAAGGUAACGGCUUACCUAGGCGACGCUCCCUAGCUGGUCUGAGAGGAUGAUCAGCCACACUGGGACUGAGAAACGGCCCAGACUCCUACGGGAGGCAGCAGUGGGGAAUAUUGCACAAUGGGCGCAAGCCUGAUGCAGCCAUGCCGCGUGUAUGAAGAAGGCCUUCGGGUUGUAAAGUACUUUCAGUCGGGAGGCGUUACCGACAGAAGAAGCACCGGCUAACUCCGUGCCAGCCGCCGCGGUAAUAC
rnacentral:rRNA from 1 species